UUUAAACUAUAACAAGCCAUACAUGUCUAGAAGGUACAGAAGAUAUUGCCAAGAUAUUCACAAUCAAUUAAUUUAUCCAAGCACAGUCCAAAUUACCAUCAGUGGGUGGAAGCAUCUUGGUUAUUAAAUUACCUGCAGCAAUUCCAAACAAAGGAAGUACAAUACAGAAAGGAGAAGUUGAGAGAGCUGAGAGGUGAAUUCCAAUAUUACAGGAGAGGAGGCAAAGAAUACUGAAGGUCAGGAAGGG